GUGGCGCAGCUAACGCACUAAGUUGACCGCCUGGGGAGUACGGCCGCAAGGUUAAAACUCAAAUGAAUUGACGGGGGCCCGCACAAGCGGUGGAGCAUGUGGUUUAAUUCGACGCAACGCGAAGAACCUUACCUGGCCUUGACAUGCAGAGAACUUUCCAGAGAUGGAUUGGUGCCUUCGGGAACUCUGACACAGGUGCUGCAUGGCCGUCGUCAGCUCGUGUCGUGAGAUGUUGGGUUAAGUCCCGUAACGAGCGCAACCCCUAUCCCUAGUUGCUAGCAGUUCGGCUGAGAACUCUAGGGAGACUGCCGGUGACAAACCGGAGGAAGGUGGGGAUGACGUCAGGUCAUCAUGGCCCUUACGGCCAGGGCUACACACGUGCUACAAUGGUGCGUACAGAGGGUUGCAAACCCGCGAGGGGGAGCCAAUCUCACAAAACGCAUCGUAGUCCGGAUCGGAGUCUGCAACUCGACUCCGUGAAGUCGGAAUCGCUAGUAAUCGUGAAUCAGAAUGUCACGGUGAAUACGUUCCCGGGCCUUGUACACACCGCCCGUCACACCAUGGGAGUAGAUUGCACCAGAAGUAGUUAGUCUAACCUUCGGGAGGACGAUUACCACGGUGUGGUUUAUGACUGGGGUGAAGUCGUAACAAGGUAGCCCUAGGGGAACCUGGGGCUGG
rnacentral:rRNA from 1 species